GAACCGGUUCUCUUCUUAUAUUUCACAGAAUAAACUACAAAAACAUUCGUUUGCUUUUUACAUUCGCCAUUUUCCACAGCGACAGCUCCACCGUCGUUUGUCCUCUCCCCGGAAAAAGCCUCUAUCUCUCGGUAUAUUUGCCUGACCGCUCCUGUUCGAUUCCCACCAGCAAACAUGGGCAAAACGAAGACAAGUGUGACCGCAGCGGACAGGAGAAAGUCUCCACGCCUGGCUGUGAGGGCUAAACCUGCAACAGCCGAGGCUAAGACCAAACCUGUAGCAAAGAAGGGACCCAAAGCAAAGAAGGCCAAGGCAACUGAGAACGGGAACCCCAAGGCUGAGGAGCCAAAGGCUGAAGCCACCGAGGCCAAAUGAAGAACUGUUGAUGUGCUCACUCUGUGUACUUGGUGAUUGUACAGUUUUAAAUGAGUAUUUUUUACCAAGUUUUAUAUUACAAAUGUCAUUUAUAGGUUUUUUUUGGGCUUGCACUUGAUGUAACAAAACUUUGUUGUCACACUCAUAUCCAUUUAAAGAUGAUAACCGUCCAUAUCUCGUAGACGUGGCAUUUUAGUUUGUCUAAUCCUGUUAUUUUUUUAUUAUUAUUUUAAACUGCUGACUGAUAGAUAUCUUCCCAGUUGGACUUUACUUCAAAUUUUAAACAUUAUAAGGCAGCUAAUGGAUAUUGUUAAAGUUCAGGGGACAAUAGGAAUUUCGCCUUUUUAUGUCCCCUUGUAUUUUAAUGUUAAACUAAUAAAAACUAUUGCUUACCAAAUGAUUUGAAACACUGUAUGUCGCCAUUAGAUGUAGUCAGUGGAAAUGCCACAGAAGAAUACUGUUAUUGGGUGACAGAUGUUGAUAUAUCCCAAUACUUGUUUAAUGUGAACCGGGUCAUUUGGUUUCAAACAUUCUGUUAAGUUAUGUUUCUGUUAGGAGAGAAGAAAGCAUUCUCUGACUUCAUGGUUGAUCUAAAUGUUCUUGAAUAAAAAUUUUCAAAAUGUC